UAGCAUAUGCUUGUCUCAAAGAUUAAGCCAUGCAUGUCUAAGUAUAAACAUUUAUACAGUGAAACUGCGAAUGGCUCAUUAUAUCAGUUAUAAUUUAUUUGAUAGUACUUUACUACAUGGAUAACCGUGGUAAUUCUAGAGCUAAUACAUGCAAAAAAACCCGACUUAUUGAAGGGUUGUAUUUAUUAGGUAAAAACCAAUGCCAGUAAUGGCUUUUUGGUGAUUCAUAAUAACUUUUCAGAUCGCAUGACCUUGAGUCGGCGACGUAUCAUUCAAA
rnacentral:rRNA from 1 species